UUAUUUUCUCUCUACCUUUUCGCUCAAUAUUUUGUUCAUUUUUUCUUUUUUUUUGUACGAACAAUUCAAAAUGAUUCUUAGCGUUUUACAUUUUGAACAUUUUAAAGUUUAACUCAGUUUAUAACAAUACUACCGUAUUGAUAUAAAAAUAAACAUACUCAUAUACACUCUUUCAUGUUUUGUCCCAUCUGAUAAUAAAAAAAAAUAAAAAAAAAUAAAAAAAAAAUAAAAAAAAAACGUGAACUCAUAACAUACAACACACAGCGUGCAGAACACAACACAGAACACAUUGAUAAUUGCGAAUCAAAAUGAAAAAAUCCCAAAUAGUAGCGUACGAACAACUCAUUUCCGAACUAAAAAGUGAGUUUCCCUUAUUUGAACAGUAUGAUAUUAACUUUUUUUAUAAUAAAAAUAAUAAAACGUCACAUCCACCUUUUCAAAAAAGGGAAGAUAUGCAUGAAGUAGAAGCAAACAAUAAUGAAUAUAAUGAAGCUAGUUUGAAAUAUAGUAACAUAUUAAUACAAGAAAUGGAUAAAUCAUUUAAUAUAUUAGAAGAAAAUAACAAAAUAGAUCAUAUAUGUAAUUUAUUUUUAAACAAUUACAAAUAUAAAAAUAACCAGUAUUAUGACUAUAUUAAUGAUAAUUAUAUAAAUUCAAAGCAUGUUGAACAUAUUAUAAAGGCUUAUGUAGAAAAAAAAAAAAAAAAAAAACGAACAGGGAGUGAUAUCGAAGUAGUAAGUACUAAGAGUACUGUAAUAUAUAAUGAGCCACAAACAGACAAUCAACUGAAUCAAGUGGAAACACAACCACAUGAGCAACAAGGCAAGUCACUAUGUAGGUCACAACGUAAGCGAAAACAAAGUAAUGGAAACAUAGGUUAUAAAAAAAAGAAAAAUGGUACUAAUAAUCAAGUUACUCAUAAAAAUGAAGUACCAUAUGAAAUGCCAAAUGAAGUACCAUAUGAAAUGCCAAAUGAUGUACCUCAUGAAUGUAACAAACUAAACAGUCACGAAAAAAUAUACAAACAUGAAAUACCAGAUGAUCAUAGCAUAAAUAUUAAAAAUAAAAUUAAAAAAAUAAAAAAAAGAAAAAAAAAAAAAACAUCUUGGAGUGAAAACAUGAAAAAAAAUAAUAGUGAGUUAGGUUUUUGUAAUAUUUCGUUUAUAAGAUUUAUGGACCCAUCCUUUUAUAUAAACUAUGGAUGUAUUUUACAUGAGCCUUGUUAUAAAAUAAAUUCUAAUACAGUCUUUAUGAUUAAUAAAAAAAAAAAUACCGCUUCAAAUGUAUAUAAUUAUAAAAAAUUAAUAGUAUUUGGAAAUGAAGGUAAAAAACAGUUUUUAAAAAAAUUAACAAAUAAAUCAAUUGUUAAAGGCUGGAUUUGCAAAUCGGAUAUACAACAUAAGUGUUUUUUUGUUAAGAUCUUUGCUUUACUUAAUGAAGAGGAUGAAAAUGAAAACGUGGGUAGUUACAGUAGGGGUAGCAACAAAUGUUCUGACCAAUAUGCUGUCCAAUAUAACAUCCCUUGUAAUAAACAAAACAUUGCUAAUAACAUUGAAGAAAUCAUCGCAUGUUUACCCUUCCAUUUGAUUAACAAGUUUGAAUUCAUAAAUAAUUUAAACAGAUGCGGUCAUGAGUUUUAUGAUAAUAUAGAACAAUUUUUAGGAGUGGAAGUAUGUGGAGAAAUAGUUGACCAUACAAAUACCUCUAACUCAGUUUUUCAAAAUAUUUUAUAUAAUUAUAAUUUUGACUUUUUUAUUACUUUUUAUGGAAGUUACACUUUGAAAAGUGGUACCUGGCUUUCUCAAUUUUAUAAGCGAAGUGAACAGUUGGGUUUUUCAUGUGCGAUAUCGUUUUUGGCUUUACAAGCGGAAUCGAAUGGUGAUAGCAGUGGAAAGAGUACAGGUGACUAUGUUUCGAGUGAAAGUGUUUCGGGUGUAAGUGUCGCGAGUUAUAGUACCAUUAUCGAUGAUGGGACUAGUGGUGGUGAUACAAACCGUUGUAACACGAACUACAACAAUAAUAGUAAUAAUAACACUAUUAUAAAGAACUUUCACAACUUAUUAUUUGGAAGCCAACAUUUUUAUUAUAUAGAUAAUGUCUUAUACAAAAAAAAACUAUUAAGAUUAAAUAAAUUAAAAUACCCCUCCUUAAUAAAAUAUAAGAACAGAGCCAAACUUACCAACAAUAGCAUCAGUAGUAUUAAAACAAGAGAAAAUAGUAUAUACUGGUCAAAAAUAACAUUUUUAGAAGCUUUUAAUAUUUAUAAAAAUAAUAGUCAAUAUUACUUAUUUUUUAAACAUUAUUUUAGUUUAGAUAGCGAUAAAUAUGACGCUACGUAUAUAAAUGUAGAGACAACUCAUGAUGAUUUUAUUCCUAAAGUUUGUUGUACUUUUACGGAGCGUGUCAAAGCAACUGCUACAAAAGUAGAGACAGCGCUCAAUAAUGAAAGUACACUGGACCACUCAUGUGAAAAUACAUGUGAGCAAAACAUAACGAAGAACCAAGUCGAUUUAAAAAACAAUCACGAUUUCUCAUCCAGUAUUAGCGAUUCUUUCGACAAAGAAAAGAAAAAUAUUAUUAACAAAAUAAUAUUUUUGAAUACUAGUUUG
ensembl:lncRNA